AGCUUCAUGGUGGAAAUUUAAAGACGUUGGAUUGCAAAUCUAGAGAUGUGAGUAAUUCACUGAGGCUU
rnacentral:tRNA from 1 species